rnacentral:rRNA from 1 species
CCCGCACAAGCGGCGGAGCAUGUGGAUUAAUUCGAUGCAACGCGAAGAACCUUAUCUGGGCUUGACAUACACCAGAUCGGCGCAGAGAUGCGUUUUCCCUUGUGGUUGGUGUACAGGUGGUGCAUGGUUGUCGUCAGCUCGUGUCGUGAGAUGUUGGGUUAAGUCCCGCAACGAGCGCAACCCUUGUCUUAUGUUGCCAGCACGUGAUGGUGGGGACUCAUGAGAGACUGCCGGGGUUAACUCGGAGGAAGGUGGGGAUGACGUCAAAUCAUCAUGCCCCUUAUGUCCAGGGCUUCACACAUGCUACAAUGGUCGGUACAACGCGUGUGCGACACUGUGAGGUGAAGCUAAUCGCUCUAAAGCCGGUCGUAGUUCGGAUUGGGGUCUGCAACUCGACCCCAUGAAGUCGGAGUCGCUAGUAAUCGCAGAUCAGCAACGCUGCGGUGAAUACGUUCCCGGGCCUU